AAGUCGUAACAAGGUUUCCGUAGGUGAACCUGCGGAAGGAUCAUCAUUGUAUCAAAUCCUUUAUACACCCUUGUGAACUAUGCAGACACCCACUAUAUAUGAUCGUUCUCCCUUGGCGGUGCACUUCGGCGCAUAUAUAUACGCGGGGGAUGAUGGGGUAUGUUGUGUGUGUGCAUCUGCGACCACUAAUUUGGAUGAGUGGCGCGAUUAGUGUAUGGUGGUGCACUUUGUACGUAUAUAUUGACCAGUUUGUGUCAAGAGCGUGCGAGUGUGUCAUCUGCUGCGCGCCACCGUCCGUUGUAAAAACAAACACCUUUUAAACAAAAUAUCAGCUGAAAUAAUUCAUUAUAAAUAAUUAAAACAACUUUCAACAAUGGAUCUCUUGGCUCUC
rnacentral:misc_RNA from 1 species